rnacentral:lncRNA from 1 species
GAGAGGAAGUGCGCCCAACGCCAUAGGGAGGUCAAGAGAGUCAAGGAUAGAAACAAAUGUGUCCAUUAGAUUAGCAACCAAGAAGGACUUAGAGCGCUCAGCGCAAGGAAUUUCUGUGAAGUGGGAGAGACAGACUGCAGGGGACGAGGACAGACUUAUCCUCUGAAUUUUGAAGAAGGCAGCGAGCACGGUCCCUCGGCUCCUGCCUCUCCUCUUCUGGAGUCUGUCUGUUUGCAUGAAGCAUGUGUGUUCAUCUGCUCAAGACUUCAGCAGUGAAGGCCCCUGCCCCUGUGGGCAAGACCUGUGGGUUUCCUGCCUUGCCUGUGACUGGCGUCUCCCUGAUACUGGACACCACCCAGCUGUUGGAGACCCUGGAGGCCGAGUCUGAGGCUCCGACAUUGCAAUUCAAACCCCAAAGCACAGCGGAUCUUCGUCCUGCUUUCAGAGAAGUCAUUAGCUUCAUUUUUUCUUUGCUGGACACUGUAGCCGACCCCACUGGAGAUAAGAAGAAACAGAAUGUCUUCUGUCUUCCCUAGGACAGCUGCAUCAGC